rnacentral:rRNA from 1 species
CGCUGUACUGCUGGCAGGUCGAAGAUUCCUACGGGAGGCAGCAGUGGGGAAUAUUGCGCAAUGGGCGAAAGCCUGACGCAGCAACGCCGCGUGGACGAUGAAGGCCUUCGGGUUGUAAAGUCCUGUCAGGAGGGACGAAGUCUCGCUUGCGAGAUGACGGUACCUCCAGAGGAAGCCCCGGCUAAUUACGUGCCAGCAGCCGCGGUAAUACGUAGGGGGCAAGCGUUGUCCGGAUUUAUUGGGCGUAAAGAGCACGUAGGCGGUUUACCAGGUCAGGUGUGAAAACUUCGGGCUUAACCCGGAGCCUGCACUUGAAACCGGUAGACUAGAGUCUAGGAGAGGAGAGUGGAAUUCCCAGUGUAGCGGUGAAAUGCGCAGAUAUUGGGAAGAACACCGGUGGCGAAGGCGGCUCUCUGGACUGCGACUGACGCUGAGGUGCGAAAGCUAGGGUAGCAAACAGGAUUAGAUACCCUGGUAGUCCUAGCCGUAAACGAUGGGCACUAGGUGUGGGGAGUUAUCGACGCUCUCCGUGCCGUCGCUAACGCAUUAAGUGCCCCGCCUGGGGAGUACGGCCGCAAGGCUAAAACUCAAAGGAAUUGACGG